UACACAUAUGCUUGUCAAAAAGAUUAAGCCAUGCAUGUUUCAAUACAGCACUAUACAGUGAAAUUGCGAACGGCUCAGCAGCUCAGUACUAUUCAACCCACACUCUUACUAUUACUGGGAUACCCUAGCAAAAUGUUCGGCCAAUACCUGCACCAACGCCCGUCAAGGGCUGCACUCACUGGCUUUUCCACGGCCCCUCGGGGCUUGAUGAUACACGGUGAACUGCGGAUCGGCCCCUUGUGGGCCGACGCUGUGGACGAAGUUCUGAUCUAUCAAGUAGUAGGUGGUGUAGUGGACCACCUAGCUGACAACGGAUACGGAGAAUUGGGGUUCGAUUCCGGAGAAAAGGCCUGAGAGACGGCCAUUACAUCCAAGGAAGGCAGCAGGCGCGCAACGUUCACAAUGGGGAACUCCCGAUGACGUGACAAGAGAUAGCAAAGGAGCGGACAUUCGUCUGCACCUAUUGCAAUGAUAUGGGCCUAAAAAACCCUAAGAGUAGCCAGU
rnacentral:rRNA from 1 species